rnacentral:rRNA from 1 species
UGAGCUCUACCUUAAUUUUAUCAUUACAUUUAGAAUUUUUUUAAAAAAAAGACAAAUUUAAGAGCUAUUCAAAUAAGGCACAGCUUAUUUGAAACGGGAUACAACCCCUAACACUGGGUUAACCACAGCACUUAAACAAAGUGGGCCUAAGAGCAGCCACCUUCCGAAAAGCGUUAAAGCUUAAAUAACAAAUCACUAAUUUCGCAACCAAAAUUUAACCCUUCAUCUAUACUGGAUUAUUUUAUACAUUUAUAAAAGUCAUUAUGUUAGAACUAGUAACAAGAAAUUGCUUUUCUCCAAAAUGCACGUUUGAACCAAAUAGGACCAACCAUUGGACUUUAACACAAAUUAUAAUCUAUAACACCACACAACCAGAGUACCUUAAAAAUUUUAGUGUCAAUCUAACACCAGAGCAUUACAGGAAAGAUUAAAAGAGAAAGAAGGAACUCGGCAAAUUUUAGUCCCGCCUGUUUACCAAAAACAUCGCCUCCUGGCCAAAUAUAGGAGGUCCAGCCUGCCCAGUGACGAAAUUCAACGGCCGCGGUACCCUAACCGUGCGAAGGUAGCAUAAUCACUUGUUCUUUAAAUGGGGACUAGUAUAAACGGCAUCACGAGGACUACACUGUCUCCUUUUUCCAAUCAGUGAAACUGAUCUCCCCGUGAAGAAGCUGGGAUAUUUACAUAAGACGAGAAGACCCCAUGGAGCUUUAAACCCAAUGCAUAAUUCAAUCCACUAAACCACCAAAACCCAAGAAACCUAUGCAUCGGUUUUAGGUUGGGGUGACCGCGGAGUAAAACCUAACCUCCGCAACAAACGGGCUAACGCCAUGAUCUAUGAACCACAAUUCUAAGAGCCAACAAAUUGUUGCCCAAUGACCCAAUUAAUUGAUCAAUGAACCAAGUUACCCUGGGGAUAACAGCGCAAUCUACUUCAAGAGCCCCUAUCGACAAGCAGGUUUACGACCUCGAUGUUGGAUCAGGGUAUCCCAGUGGCGCAGCCGCUACUAAAGGUUCGUUUGUUCAACGACUAAGACCCUACGUGAUCUG